GCCACGUCUCCGCAGACAGCGGCUGCAGCGUGACCCAGGGCCACAGGCUGGCCAGGCUGUGCAGGGCUUGGCGGUUCCACGCGGCCGUGGGGAAGCUGUCCUCGGCGUGGUUGAACAACGUCCUUAAACCACAUCCAGGGACAGUCAUAGAAUAUCUCAUGUUGGAAAGGGCCCACAAGGAUCACCGGGUCAGAGAACACUGAAGUGUCCAAGGCACGGAUUUCCUCCUUCAGCUACCUGGUUCCUCACAGCUUUAGCAGAGGAGAGCAGAAGAGCAACCCACCUGAGCAACAUUUUGAGCUGAAGUGCCUACACAGACUGCAGAAGGCAAGUCACUGGUGUGCAUCUCUGACUAUGGUGUAUUAUAAGAGGUGGGGUGGGUAAAAUCAUACAAAUGAAAAAACAAAGCAAAAGCCCCAAGCCCCAGCCUCUCCCAGUCUGGAUUUUACUACACUAUAAAGAUACCCUUUCUGAUUUAGAGGUUUCUGCUUUUAAGACUGUGGUAGCUAAUAAAUCCCUGACAUCUGAACUUUUGGGAAGCAGUAUGCACGAUGAAACAAUACUGUGGUUGCAGUGAUCGUAAUAUGUAUCUCUAAGGUUAGUUGUUCCACGUGUGUAUUUAAAAUUCUCUUGUUCUUUGCUUCUCCCUGCAAAUCUAAACAGUGCUCAGAUGAAAGCUGUGGAGUUGGAGUCUGACUUAAUGGUGCCUACUUGGCUCUGUAGCAGGGCUAUAAGAGGGUAAUAAAAUCCUGGUCGGAUUGAUGAAAUCAGAUAGAAUGAAUGUAGCAUUAAAGAAAACAAAGGGCCCAUAGAUAAGCUGAAUUCUUGCUUCACUUCAAUUAUUUCCCUUUUA